GAUUUCAACUGAAAAAGUUAUCAACAACAAAGUUGUAUAACUCAUCAAUAUCUAUAACUUUUAUUUUGGUCAUUUCUUCAUCCGAUAAAAUGACAGUAAUAUUGUUCACAAAAUUUGUAUAUAUCUCUUAUAGUUUAUAAAACCAUGUAAGAGAUAUGUAAAUUUUGUGAAUAAUAUUACUAUCACUUCAUCGGAUGAAGAAAUUACCAAAAUAAAAGUUAUAGAUAUUGAUGAGUUAUACAACUUUGUUGUUGAUGACCUUUUCAGUUGAAACC
rnacentral:pre_miRNA from 1 species